AGUCCCAAAAAGCAUUCUGUGCGAAGCACUUAACGCCAAAAGUGAACAAAACAACACUUGCUCUAUUAACACGCCACACUGUCUGAAGGCAGUCGGCUUAACGAGAAACAAGAAUAUCCUACGUGUGGCUAAUUUGCGGUUAAGGAAGGCCCCAUGAUAUAUAAAGCCAAAAAAUAAAGCAAAACCGCAGCAGUUCAUUCAAAUUUUUUGUGGCCAAAACAAAUAUUAAGAUAAAAGUCAGUGGGGACUAUAAUUUGAGUUAUUCAAAUGCAAUAAAUCCGCGGAACCAAACGAGUUGCUAAUUUUACGUUAGACGCCCUUUAAUUUCACGCUGCCAUUUGUGGCUUCCGUUUCGUAUAAGUUUGGGUCGAUGAUUUUUAGAAUUUGCAUUUUCAAUUUGAAUAUAAAAAACCGCCGCUGCAGGUUUGCAGCUUUUAAAGUGAUCCGCAAUCUCAUUCCUAGUCAGUCGAAAAAAGUCCAUGCUUUUAAAUCCCGAUCUCUACAUCUGUUUUUGUUGCAGCCAAGUCAAUGUCAAGUGUUGCUUCGGCUGACUUACUACAAAAGUUAAUUGCACUGCACGCACAUGCCAAAAGGUAAAAAGAGUCGCGAGCCUCGGCGACAGGCUUCCAAAACCCUGUAUAUCCACAUCACCAGACCUCAGGACCUCAACUUACGACUCUGGCUACGAGGCGCGUGUGUGCAAUAUCAGGUUUCCGCAUCGACUUGCAUAGUGAUUCGAGGAUGUGCGAAAAUAUGAUUUAAAUUAAGGGAUCAUCAGUUUGCAACAGACUAUUUGUAUACCUUCCUUUUAGAAUAUAUAUAUAUUUUUUAUAGAAAUAUGUAAUACUAGUUAAGUCUUCUAAAGGAAAUACAUUUUUACACGUU
rnacentral:lncRNA from 1 species